rnacentral:rRNA from 1 species
UACGAGGGGGGCGAGCGUUGUUCGGAUUUACUGGGCGUAAAGGGCGCGUAGGCGGCGCGAUAAGUCGAGUGUGAAAGCCCCGGGCUCAACCUGGGAACCGCGCUUGAGACUGGCAUGCUAGAGUUCGGGAGAGGAUGGUGGAAUUCCCAGUGUAGAGGUGAAAUUCGUAGAUAUUGGGAAGAACACCGAUGGCGAAGGCAGCUAUCUGGACCGACACUGACGCUGAGGCGCGAAAGCGUGGGGAGCAAACAGG